rnacentral:rRNA from 1 species
GCAUAAUAAUUUGCCUCUUAAUUAGAGGCUAGCAUGAACGGACACACGAAAGUUUUACUGUCUCAGUCUUAUACACUAUAAACUAAACUCUAAGUGAAGAUGCUUAGAUAUAUUUGAAAGACAAAAAGCCCCUAUAGAGUUUCAGGCUUUUUCUACUUUAAUAAAUCCUUUAAUUGGGGCGAUUAAGGAUUACAAAAAACAUCCUUCAAUAACCUCGAAACCUGUUUCUCCCCUCAGAUCCAUACACAUGAUCCUAAAACAAAACUACCUUAGGGAUAACAGGCUUAUCUUUCUACCAAGUCCAUAUUACAAGAAAGGUUUGGCACCUCGAUGUUGGCUUAGAGUAACUAGUUAUUGCAACCGAUAACUGAGUAAGUUUGUUCAACUAUUAAACCUCU